CACAUCACCUAUUUAUCAUCACCUAUCUAUCAUCACCUAUCUCUCAUCACCUAAUUAUCAUCACCUAAUUAUCAUCACCUAUUUCUCAUCACCUAAUUAUCAUCACACAUCAUCUAAUUCAUCUACCCAUGUUUUACCCAACAUAUUUGUAGAUAUAAAAUACAUAUACAGAUUAACUAAUUUAACAACUAUAUAAAACAUCCAUUCCUCACUCAUCUCAAAUAAACAACAAUAUAUAAACGCAUAACACGUAUUUCAUAGAAAAUACUUAAUAUAUAUAUGUUAGAAGAAAGUGAUCACAUACUCACCCAAAACAUAUACUUAAUACAUUCACACAAUACUUGUAUUAAAAUCAUGUUAUGAAAGGGACUAUACACUCACACAUAUAAACAACUUUAUAUUAUACACAUAGCACGUAUUUCAUAGCAAAUACUUAAUAUUUAUGUGUUAGAAGAAAGUGACCACACACUCACUUGAUCAGAAGAUGAUCGGACAACACUACGACUUGUAGAAGUAGUAUUCUUCAGUAGAUCUAGAAGAUCUUCACAAAAACCGGGCUCAUCGCGGGCAGAGCUUCGACUCGGGAAUAACGCUCUUUGGGAUCUUCGGGACUUGCUUUGGGUCUCGAGAUGAUAACGGGGCUUCAGGGUAUUUCUUGCACGUAAAUCGAGGUAAAACGGGAGAGAUAGAAGAGAAAAUUGCAACCUAAACGGCUCGCCCUUCAAAUCUAUUUAUAGGGCAAAAUUGGCCCUUGCCACGUCGUGGCAACCUUUUUCCACGUCGUGGGCUUGGUCGUCAUUGCAUGCGUCAUCGCAAGUUGCAUCUGGGGGACUCUCGGACGUGUCAGAGGACUUGCCACGUCAUGGCACUGCUUGCCACGUCGUGGUCUCUGACAGUUUUGGGGUUUCGCGCCCCGAACUUCAGAAAUUCAUAACUUUCGCAUACGAACUCCGUUUUUGACGUUCUUUAUAUCGACGCGAAGGUAAGAUUAUGCUCUACAACACUAGUUUAUACACCAUUGGAUAAUUUUGACUUUAUUUUUAAUAUAUUAUAAAUAUAUUACAUAUAUAUUAUCUUUAGUAGGUCAGGACAGGAAAACUCUGUUCGAAAUUCAUAACUCCUUCAUCUGAACUCCGUUUUCGUCCGUCUUUCCGUCGUUGCACUACUAUCGAUGAGAUCUUCAAUUAUCAUUUAGAUCACUAAGGAUAGAUAUCUAUCUACCUUAAAUUCACUAUUUACGUCGCGCUGGGUCGUGCCGGUUCUGUCGCGAAACUUCGACAGGUCAUAACUUCUUCGUUAUAACUCGGAUUUUGGCGUUCUUUAUAUGCACGGAAACCUUGUGACAUAUACUACAAAUUGGUUAAGAUUAAUCCUUAUAAAUAAUAUUCCAUCAAAAAGUCAUUUUUGAUGCUUAUCGUCUCUAAAUUGACUAGCCCGGAUCUACGGGCGUUACAGUUAUCUCACCCUUAGGAUGAUUACGUCCCGGAAUCAUCAACGAAACAUGAUUCGUAUACUGACUCCAUACGUUAUCUCUCCAUCCUAAGUAAUAACUUUAAGUUAUAUAUUUCCUCGAAAGAGUAUCUAACUCUUGGACUUCUCGAUAGCAGGUAGUGCUCAAUCCUGCAUCUGCUCUUCGUACUAUGUUGUACUUUCAAUUGUAACCUUCGAGUUACAAAAUAAAUCCUUAUUGUGACUCCUUCUUGUUCUUCUUAGGAUAAAUACUUUCCUUUAUCUAUUGUAACAGACCAAUGGGUCAUGUUCUAAUGACCUCUCAUUGUAUGAUGCAACGCUUAGACUCAAGUCUCUUAGAGUCAAAUUCCAGAAUGGAAUAUACCUUCCUUCAUAUUCUAAUGUGAUAUAAUCACAUUUUUACAUGUAGCAUUUCUAGCUACAAGCUUCCUUAACAACGAGCGUGAUGCUAUCGAUCACAUUGAUUUCAAUCUUCUGACUUGAGUCAGAUGCUACCUCGAACUUGGUUCUAUGAACGACGUAACAAACUCAUCGUAGUCGGACUCAAUUUGAUAUGACCAGUAGGGUCGGAAUAACAACCAUCUUACUAGUAAUUAAUGAAACAAGGGUAAUGGCAUCCGAAUAAAACGGAAUCAAUCACAAGCUUCUUGGUAACCUUGUGACUUUCACCGAUCCAAGUGUGAGUCCUGUGCUUCCGGUAGUAUAUGCAUCUACUACCUUUCACACCUACUCAUACUCGUCCCAAGUGUUGUCUCGCAGUCGACCAAGUCACCAUACAAGAAAAUCACAAAACAAUUUAAAACAUACGAAUGUGUCCAAAUAAUCAUAAAAAUUUCCCUAGACUCUACUAGGACUUCUUCAUUGCGUAUCUUCAAUCAUCAAUUCCACUUCAACUCGAUUGGUGAUGGAAAUGUCGGGUGAUGAGACAACCUCAAGAAUUACACCAAUUUGUCCAUCAUCCUACCAAUCGAAGGUGUACUUCAGACGUACCGUACUCCUCUAAACAUACUGUUAUUUCAUAAGACAUAAUCUAUAGGCAAGAUACCACUCUUACAAUAUCUUCUAGUAGGUGUCAUCCACUAUCAUAAGGCUUCAUCAUUUCCUCCAUUGACUCAAUUCUCUACGAGUCUUCACCAUGACCUUUUGUGCACCCAAGCAGACGUUCGGUGUACUAGGCGAGAAUUUAAGAUAGGAAGCUUUAUUUACGAUAAACGUAUAAAUCUCCUUAUCACUCCGAAACAUUUACAUGCUAGUUCUAAUAUCGUACUCAUACUUUUAGAACCCUAAACACAUAAGGUUUCCAGAUCCGGUCGACAACAGACCAUAGAUCCGAACAAAUAAUAGAAUCAAUANAUCAAUAUAGCUAUCACACAAAACAUUUAGCACAUAAAAGCAUUUUAGGCAUCAUUCCUAAAAUAAACUAGUACUUGUGUCAAUUUAGGUGUACUACCUAACAUAUUUUAGACACACUCCUCACAAUCAUUACUUAGCAUUCUAAGUUUAAGUCUAGAUAUUUCCUACAAAUUCCUAGUUCGCUUAAACUAAUGCUCUGAUACCAACUAUGACAUCCCCCAUUUCACGGCCAGAAAAGACCGAUUUGUUUAUGCUUUGUUUUAUAAAUCAGAGUAUUCAUUUAAAGAAAACGGUUGCGGAAUUUGUUCCCAAAAAAAGAUAUGAUAAAAACUUAUCAAAACAUUUCUCAAAGAGAAUGCAUUUUCAUUAAAUAAUAAAACCUCGGGAUGUCAUGUUCCGAUACAAACACAUAAGCAUAAAAAGAACAUACAUUCGUUUACUCUAGUGAUUUACAUCUCCUUUAAUCUCUCAGUGCAAAGCAGCUUCGUAUCGAUACCUGUGAUACAAUUAAACUGAGUGGGUCAGGCUUGGGAGUUUAACAACAACAAAAUUUAGGUCAAAAUUUAAACUUUAAUAAAACUUUAAUUAAGUAUACUAAGUGGUAGAUAUCGUAACAAGGUUUUCAUACAUAUAAAGAACACAAAAAUCCGAGUUAUAACGAAGAAGUUAUGACCAUUCUAAGAUUUCCGACAAAACCGGCAACACCGAUGAAACGAAAAAUGCAAAGUUCCAAUACAAUACUUUUUAGCCUUAAAUAUCUAAAUGAAAGUUGUAGAUAUCAUUAAACCGUGAACAUACAUAAAAAGAACGUCCAAAUCUGACUUCGUAUGAGGAAGUUAUGAUUUUUCUAAGUUACGAAUAUAACAGUAGACGGCUAAAAACUCGAAAUAGAGAUCGAGAGACAUUUAGCCGACGCAAACUAAAUGAGAAUUGAAGGUCUCAACAAUAGAAGCGCAACAGUAAAAAGUCUGAUGGAAACGGACGUCGGAUGAAGGAGUUAUGGAACUUUAACAGACUUUUCAUGUCCCGACGUAUUAAAAAUAAAUAAUNAAAUUUGCCGACGGAGUCUAAACGAAAGUUGUAGAUCGUAGUCUCACCUACGCGUGGAUAUAAAGACCAUAAAAACAGAAUUCGUAUGAAGAAGAUAUGAAUUUUAGAAGUUUAUUAAUUAAAUUAAAUAUAAAUUUAAUUAUAAUUGUUUGGUAUUAUCCGAAGGGAGUCAGCAGAUAGGGCCGAAGUACGCCCUGCGUACCCUCGUACGCCCCGCGUACUCAAGGCCUAGGCCUCGGAUCGUCCACGUCCCGACCUAUGCGAAGCUACCCCUUGUCCCAUCCGAAAUCCGAGGCAGUCGAGGACUCGGUCAUGCAUGACGUACGCGUACGCCCCGCGUACCGAGGCGGUUCCAGCCCCAAUAAAAGGGAUGCGAGGGUUACGAAGAAAGGGAUCCAUUUCUCUCAUUUCUUUUGUGUUUUUGCCUCGUUUUCCGUGCCUGUUCUAACCCGAAGUCCCGGUCAUUUUGCUCAAGUCCCGAAGGUCGUUUUUACUCCCGGGAUUCCCGAGGAAAUCCGUUUCCCGAGACGAAAUUAUGCCCGGUUUCCAUCUCGCUUUCUUCAAAUCUUCAAGUGAGUUCAUACCCCUACAACCACACUUUAAAUGCUUUUUAAACACUUUUAGGGGGGGAAUACAAGUAAACACACGACUAAAAUCGUGUGAAACAUCGAUCUUUUGCUAUACUUUUCAUACUGUUGUUUUAACUAUCUUAUGAAGUCAUCAUCAUGCAAAACACCUCACAACACAUCUUUACCCUCUUGGGAUACAAUAUGUUUUAUAAAUAGAAAUAAUGUUUUAUUUAUACGUUUACAUACAAAUACAUCAUAUCAAUGGUAACAUUCUUUACAUAAAUCAUUUUAUGGAUUCAAAGAACUUAUGAUGUAUGCUUUGUCAAACAUUGUGAAAAAGGAUAAACAUUGCAUACAAAACUACUACUUUAAUACAGACUUAGUUGAGAAUCCAUGAGACGUGUACAUCUUCAAACAAUACCUUUUUGAUAAAAGGUAUCGCUACAAGUCCUGUCUAUAACCAGAGUCUCCCGUUCGGAGAACGUGUCAAAUGUGUAUAGAUCUAUACGGGAAGUCAUGAUCCCGCGCCCUGACUGUUAGCUACAGUCCGUCCUUUGGGGUUACAGUUUGUCAUAACGCUACGACGCCUGAAGAACGUCGCUACAGGCAUAUUAUGUUUAGUAUGGUUAUAAAACUCACCGGAUAUACAAUUAUUAUGGUAUUAUGCUUUUAUGAACGAGUAGCUAUUAAAACUAUUCUUCAUCUAACAAGUGCGAUCUUCGUAUAGCUUUAUUAUAUAAAACUAUGCCACAACUUUUAAGCACGUCGGUUGCUUGCGAUUUUCGGUCUUAGAGACUGCCAGUUAUGUUAGGAAAAUAAGGGUUUUUCCUGGAUACAAACCAAACAACUAAUAGGAAAAUAAGGGAUUUUCCUGGUGCAAUUAUUUACAACUUAUAACACGAACAUUCAUAUGCAUUUCAUACUUUUAUAAGAAAAUAAGGGUUUUUCUUGGAAAACACAACAAUUCAUAUCUCAACUAUUAGGGAAAAUAUGGGAUUUUCUGGAUCUAAUACAUUCAUUUUCAACACAACGAAUCAUAACUCUUUACAUUUGAAAUACUGCGUUUUCUGGAAAACAUACACGAACUUUCGAAUGGCGUACAUUUUCUCAAAACACUACUCAUGAACUCACCAACUUAAUUGUUGACACUUUUUCUUUGAAAUAACUUGUAUUCUCAGGGAACCGCUAAGCAGAUUUGGAAAUCAACUUUUGGGGAUUAACGUGCUGACGUUAAUUACUUCUUUUGAAAGAUGUUUAUGUAUUUAUCUUUUGAACAUGUAACGAAUACAAUUAUGUAAACAUUUUGGAAACUUUAAUAUAUAUGGUGGUGUGUACUUUCCUUUCUAUGAACUGUUAUGAUACUGAAUAUGACGUCCUCCGCCCCCGAACGUUUCCGCCGUUCUGGUUUGGGGGUGUGACAGAUUGGUAUCAGAGCAUUGUUUAUAGUGAAUUAAGUAUAUCAAAACCAUUUUUGGUAUACAACUAUAAACACAACUGGGCAAAAACACUCUGAGUAAGAGUCAUACUUUUAAAAUUAAAUUUAUUUAGUUUUUGUAAAGUAGGCAUGCAUUCAUUUCAUAUUAAUAACAUGGUCAGUAUCAUAAUUAAAACAAUAUAGAAGUAUUAUAAAUAAGUUGUGCAGUGCAGGUAUGCCUUGGGACAUGUAAUCGGAACUGGGAAGAAUAUAGCCUGAUCAACUAUAUUUGUCCAAGAGCCGACUAACGUAUGCCAAGGAGUGUCUGCAAUGGACAACAAAUUUAAAACUUACCAAAAGCAUAUCGUUAAAGAAUACUAAGGGAGUAUUCGAGUGCCUUCAACCAUUAAACUUAAGAGUAAAUUCCAUGUGCUUUAGCUUACAGUCAAUUCUUAACCCUAUUCUCGUAUAGACUCAAAUGGCUGGAUUCCAUCACCCCGGUGACCCCUACUACCCCAACCAAGGUAAUGGAGAAAGGAUAGAGAAUGAUCCUGAAGAAGGAAUGCAAGAAGAAUCAGACUCAGAUCCCGAGGACAAUAACCUACCCUUAACGGCUCCAAUUCAAAAUCCUAAUCCUCGACCGGAAUUUCAUGGCUCGAUGCCCCUUUGGGCAACUAACCUGAAUAGGUGGAGCCGCGAACAGGAUCAACCCCUUCCAUUCAACGGAGACCGAAGCUUCUACAAUCUAAGCGAGGGAGGCUCAGCAGACAGAGCCCUUCUUAUAUUGGUUCGUCGGAUUUCUCGCAUUGGUGAACAAGGACGGACGACCAUCCAUCGAACUGAGGAGAAUGAUGCGAACACUGGAGUCAACACAGUUCGCAUCCGACAGUUAGGAUUAGCUCACGGGAGAAUCGUAAAUCAAAAUGAAGCGUUUCAGAGAGAGCUAACAGCAACUCAAACCGAAGUGAUAGAAGUUCGGGCACGCCAGGCAAGACAUGAACUACGUAUGCUCGAGAUGGAGUGUCAGUUGGCAGAAUCUAAGGCCCAUGUAGCCAGCUUGCGUAACAAAUAAUACCUGUCUGACUUCCAAAAUUUCGUCAUAGCAUAAGACCUUGGAUAAAGUCCUUAUUUUUCUUAACCUUGUAAUCGGAGACCUUUAGAUAGGUCAAAUUUUCCUAACUACAAAAUGUAACGCACCAUGUUUUAUAAUAUAUAUGAUGUAUUUCCUUUAUUAAACCCUUUGCAUACCCCUCCAAUUCAUGAGUUUAUCUACUCUCCUUAUGAGUCGAACUCAAAACCCUAUUCAAGGGUAAACCAAACUUCUGAUAUAACAAAUCACUAAUGCGUGACUUUCGAAUCAUUAAAACUUAUAGUUUUUCUUGUUAUUUCCUUAGCAGAACAAUGCCUCCUCGUAGAUCAGCACGUAGAAACGCAACCCCACCACCACCUCCCCAAUAUGACCCCAAGAUAGUACAAUCUGCUAUCACUGCGGCAGUAACAGCUGUACUGUCUCAAACAAACUUUAGCAGCGCAGCAAGGGCCGAAAAUAAUCAACUUACCAACGCAACCCCAUCCCUACGAUUGGACACCGCUACUUUGCAAGCUACAGUUAUAGCCACAGUGGCAGCCAUUAUAGCAUACAAUAACUCUGUCAACUCGAGCAGGGAAGGAAACGAUAUCAAAAAUCCUAAUCAAAGAAACAAUUGAAGCCACCUACCAGUAGCUGCCUAUAAGAAUACCGCAAGGUGCGAACACAAGAACAUGAAACGAAAACCCUGGAGCGAGAGGAGAGGCAAAUCAACUCAAGGAAACGCCAAAGAGCAACCAAUAAACCAUACACCUACACCCAAAAGGUCGUACAAAGGCAACCAGCCUAAGUGCAACCGAUGCAACUUUCAUCAUCACGGACCCUGCCGUGAAAUGCAUUGCGUUAGGUGCAAUAAAAAGGGACCCACCAUCCGCUACUGCAGAGACCUAGCCCAACUAACUGCUCCAGCCACAAAUGUAGGAGUAGACCGUGCUUGUUACGAGUGCAGAGUAACGAGACACUUCCGAAGGGACUGCCCGGAGUCAAACAUCAUGAAUGCUGGUGGAGGAGGCCGGGUAUUCGCAAUGGGCCAAGAGGAGGCUAUUGCAGACCCCACGGUUAUUCUGGGUACAUUUCUCCUCAAUAAUUUAUUUACAUAUAUAUUCCAUAUGAUAGCAGGAACGCAUAGGAGUUCCGUGAGUCACAAGUUUAAAAAUCUACUCGAACAAACACCCUAAUCAUUAAACAAAACUUUCAUAGGAGUAAUAAUAGAGAUAGACUAAAAAGCACUAAAAACACAUGCGUAAAAUGCACUAUCCCAUUAACGAACGUCUCAUAAUGAGAAGUGCCGACAUCGGCAUUCGAUGUGGAUUGGUAUGGCGCUACCCAUACCAGUUCCAUGUGUUAUAAAAGACACUUUCACUUUAACCAUCGACAAACGAAACUCGAUCGAUUUAUAACGACAAACCCGACACAAAUCCCAAUUGGUUUCUAGUUUCAAAACCCCGAAGUACUCAUGUGAGGAGUACUAUAUCUUUACAACCUUCCCGUAGUAUCCCCCAACAGAUCAUUUAGAAAUACCACACAUACAUCAAGUCAAAUCCAAGCUCAGAAACUAGGAGGGAAUUCAACCAUGAACUUCAAAACGUAGCUGCCCUAAUGCAUCGAGUGAAUAUGCUAACAUUUAGAAGAACAUAAGUAAAUAAACCCAAAACCACACGAUGUCGAUCGGUCGAAGUGAUAGGCGGAGUAAUGAAGGUCCGCUGAAACACGUACAUUAGGAUCUAGAUUCAUAAAGGGACAAGAGGAACAAAUGGACCAGAAGCACUCACGCCUGCCCGCAAGAAUUGGAGUCCCAGUCAAAAAGCGAAUUUUGGGACGAAAUUCUCUUCAACGGGGGGAUAAUGUAACAACAGCAAAAUUCAGGUCAAAAUUUAAACUUUAAUAAAACCGUAAUUAAGUAUACUAAGUGUUAGAUAUCGUAACAAGGUUUUCAUACAUAUAAAGAACACAAAAAUCAAAGUUAUAACGAAGAAGUUAUGACCAUUCUAAGAUUUUCGACAAAACCGGCAACACCGAUUAAACGAAAAACGCGAAGUUCCAAUACAAUACUUUUUAGCCUUAAAUAUCUAAAUGAAAGUUGUAGAUAUCAUUAAACCGUGAACAUACAUUAAAAGAACGUCCAAAUCUGACUUCGUAUGAGGAAGUUAUGAUUUUUCUAAGUUACGAAUAUAACAGUAGACGACUAAAAACUCGAAAUAGAGAUCGAGAGAGAUUUAGCCGACGCAAACUAAAUGAGAAUUGAAGGUCUCAACAAUAGAAGCGCAACGGUAAAAAGUCUGACGAAAAUGGACGUCAGAUGAAGGAGUUAUGGAACUUUAACGGACUUUUCAUGUCCCAACGUAUUAAAAAUAAAUAAUAAAAAUAAUUUCGGAAUUUUUUGACGGAAUCUAAACGAAAGUUGUGGAGCGUAGUCUCACCUACGCGUGGAUAUAAAGACCAUCGAAAAUGGAAUUCAUAUGAAGAAGAUAUGAAUUUUAGAAGUUUAUUAAUUAAAUAAAUUAUAAAUUUAAUUAUAAAUCUUUGGUAUUAUCCGAAGGGAGUCAGCAGAUAGGGCCGAAGUACGCCCUGCGUACUCAAGGCCUAGGCCUCGGAUCGUCCACGUCCCGACCUAUGCGAAGCUACCCCUUGUCCCAUCCGAAAUCCGAGGCAGUCGAGGACUCGGUCAUGUAUGACGUACGCGUAGCCCCGCGUACCGAGGCGGUUCCAGCCCCUAUAAAAGGGAUGCGAGGGUUCCGAAGAAAGGGCUCCAUUUCUCUCAUUUCUUUUGCGUUCUUGCCUUGUUUUCCGUGCCCGUUCUAACCCGAAGCCCCGGUCAUUUUGCUCAAGUCCUGAAGGUCGUUUUUACUCCCGAGAUUCCCGAGAAUCCCGAGGAAAUCCGUUUCCCAAGACGAAAUUCUGCCCGGUUUCCAUCUCGCUUUCUUCAAACCUUCAGGUGAGUUCAUACCCCUACAACCACACUUUAAAUGCUUUUUAAACACUUUUAAAGGGGGGAAUACAAGUAAACACACGACUAAAAUCGUGUGAAACAUCGAUCUUUUGCUAUACUUUUCAUACUGUUGUUUUAACUAUCUUAUGAAGUCAUCAUCAUGCAAAACACCUCACAACACAGCUUUACCCUCUUGGGAUACAAUAUGUUUUAUAAAUAGAAAUAAUGUUUUAUUUAUACGUUUACAUACAAAUACAUCAUAUCAAGGGUAACAUUCUUUACUAAAUCAUUUUAUGCAUUCAAAGAACUUAUGAUUUAUGCUUUGUCGAACAUUGUGAAAAAGGAUAAACUUUGCAUACAAAACUACUACUUUAAUACAGACUUAGUUGAGAAUCCGUGAGACGUGUACAUCUUCAAAUAAUACCUUUUUGCUAAAAGGUACCGCUACAAGUCCUGUCUAUAACCAGAGUCUCCCGUUCGGAGAACGUGUCAAAUGUGUAUAGAUCUAUACGGGAAGUCAUGAUCCCGCGCCCUGACUGUUAGCUACAGUCCGUCCUUUGGGGUGACAGUUUGUCAUAACGCUACGACGCCUGAAGAACGUCGCUACAGGCAUAUUAUGUUUAGUAUGGUUAUAAAACUCAUCGGAUAUACAAUUAUUAUAGUACUUCUGAUUGAUGAAUGAGUAGCUAUUAAAACUAUUCUUCAUCUAGCAAACUGAAAUCUUCUAAUAGGUUUUAUUAUAUAAAUCUAUGCUUCAACCUUCUAAAGCAUGUCAUUUACUAUCGGUUUUUAGUCUGGGACAUUAGGCUAACUAUUACUUUAGGAAAAUAUGGGAUUUUCCUGUAUACAAAACAAACAACCAAUAGGAAAAUAAGGGAUUUUCUUGAUUCACCUAUCUACAUUAUUCAAUACAAAUAUUCUCAUGCAUUUCACACUUUUAUAAGAAAAUAAGGGAUUUUCUUGGAAAACAUACACUCAAUUUGGAAUGGCAUACAAAUUUUCUAAACCACUUAUGAACUCACCAACUUAAUUGUUGACACUUUCUCUUUGAAAUAACUUGUAUUCUCAGGGAACCACUAAGCAGGUUUGGAAAUCAACUUUUGGGGAUUAACGCGCUGGCGUUAAUUACUUCUUUUGAAAGAUGUUUAUGUAUUUUUCUUUUGAACAUGUAAUGAAUACAAUUAUGUAAACAUUUUUAAAACCUUUAUAUAUGUAUGAUGAUGUGUACUUUCCUUUCUAUGAACUGUUAUGAUACUGAAUAUGACGUCGUCCGCUCCCGAACGUUUCCGGCGUUCUGGUUUGGGGGUGUGACAGGGAGCCUGGUGAGCAUAUAGGGUUUUCAACGCACAAUAUUAUAUCAUAUAUAUAUAUAUAUAUAUAUAAUCAUCAAAUAAUCAACCCAAUUACCCAUCCCCAUUAUCUUCGUUUAUCUCUUAAGUACCUUCCCUAAGGGAUUAUCCUAAGGGUCAACUCCUACAUCGUAUUUACCUCUCAUCUCCUUACAUCACAUUUCCUUAUAUGCUUGUUCCUAAGAAAUUUUUCCUAAGGAUCAUCGCAUGAGUACGUAGUCACAACAUCGUCUGGACUAGUAAUUCAUAGUAAGGGUUAGACUAUCGUCGCAUGAAUACGCAACCACAACAUCGCCUGGACUCAUAAUUCAUAGUAAGGGUUAGACUAUCAUCGCAUGAGUACGUAGCCACAACAUCGCCUGGAAUCGUAAUUCAUCACCUAGGGGUUAGAGUGUCAUCGCAUGAAUAUGUAGCCACAACAUCACCUGGACUCGUAAUUCAUCACCUACAGGGUAUGAGCCUGCUGGUGUUUCCACGGGGUCAGCUAGAAUAGUCCGUGGUCGCCAUCUAUACUCUGGUAGAUGACUACAUCGCCAAAUUUCCACAUCGCCAGUCAAGGUUAUGGUAUCUCCUCUCAUAUCACAUCACCUAUUUAUCAUCACCCAUGUAUGAUCACCUAUCUCUCAUCACCUAAUUAUCAUCACCUAUUUCUCAUCACCUAAUUAUCAUCACCUAUUUCUCAUCACCUAAUUAUCAUCACCUAUUUCUCAUCACCUAAUUAUCAUCACACAUCAUCUAAUUCAUCUACCCAUGUUCUACCCAACAUAUUUGUAGAUAUAAAAUACAUAUACAUAUUAACUCAUUUAACACCUAUAUAAAACAUCCAUUCCACACUCAUCUCAAAUAAACAACAAUAUAUAAACACAUAACACGUAUUUCAUAGCAAAUACUUAAUAUAUAUAUGUUAGAAGAAAGUGAUCACAUACUCACCCAAAACAUAUACUUAAUACAUUCACACAAUACUUGUAUUAAAAUCGUGUUAUGAAAGGGACUAUACACUCACACAUAUAAACAACUUUAUAUUAUACACAUAGCACGUAUUUCAUAGCAAAUACUUAAUAUUUAUGUGUUAGAAGAAAGUGACCACACACUCACUUGAUCAGAAG
rnacentral:lncRNA from 1 species